rnacentral:rRNA from 1 species
GUCUACGGCCAUACCACCCUGAACGCGCCCGAUCUCAUCUGAUGUCAGAAGCUAAGCAGGGUCAGGCUUGGUUAGUACUUGGAUGGGAGAAGUACACUUGUACACUAUCUGGUCCUUCAAGGGCUCUGUGGUCU